rnacentral:rRNA from 1 species
GUGGGGAAUAUUGCGCAAUGGGGGAAACCCUGACGCAGCGACGCCGCGUGAGCGAAGAAGGCCUUAGGGUUGUAAAGCUCUGUUUUAAGGGACGAAUGUCGUGGGGAGUAAUAUGCUCUGCGAAUGACGGUACCUUAAGAGGAAGCCCCGGCUAACUACGUGCCAGCAGCCGCGGUAAGACGUAGGGGGCGAGCGUUGUCCGGAAUUACUGGGCGUAAAGAGCACGUAGGCGGGAACUUAAGUCAGGUGUGAAAGAACGGGGCUCAACUCCGGGGUUGCACUUGAAACUGGGUUUCUUGAGGGCAGGAGAGGAAAGCAGAAUUCCUGGUGUAGCGGUGAAAUGCGUAGAAAUCAGGAGGAAUACCAGUGGCGAAGGCGGCUUUCUGGACUGACCCUGACGCUGAGGUGCGAAAGCGUGGGUAGCAAACAGGAUUAGAAACCCGGGUAGUCC